GACAGAGGAUGCAAGCGUUAUCCGGAAUGAUUGGGCGUAAAGCGUCUGUAGGUGGCUUUUUAAGUCUGCCGUCAAAUCCCAGGGCUUAACCCUGGACAGGCGGUGGAAACUACCAAGCUGGAGUACGGUAGGGGCAGGGGGAAUUUCCGGUGGAGCGGUGAAAUGUGUAGAGAUCGGAAAGAACACCAACGGCGAAAGCACUCUGCUGGGCCGACACUGACACUGAGAGACGAAAGCUAGGGGAGCGAAUGGG
rnacentral:rRNA from 1 species